CUUUGGUAUCUCUUCUCUAUCGCCGUUAGUAUCUCCUCUCUUCUCUCCAGUUAUCGCCGUUAGUAAGAAGACGAGUGAGCUUCCUCUACGGCGCCCUGCCAAGGUCACCGCAGCAUUCGUAGCGCGCCUCACCCAGCCGAGGCGAACGUCGUCACGUCAGAAAGCGUCGUCGUCUUCCUCGUUCCAGAGAGUGUCGUCGUCUCCCUCGUUUUUAAUCACCGUCGUCAGCCUCUCCCUUCCGCCUUGGUCUGAUGAUAAUUUGAUAUUCCUCAUCCCAGCCUUGGGAGUAGCUUAAUUUGCUCAUCCAGGUGAAUCUUGCCUCUGCUCUGUCUUUCCUAGGCGUUUCAUCCAUGUAAGUGUUUUAUGUGGCUUUUAUAAGGACUUAGUUUGAUGACAACGUUCAAUGUGUUUUGUUUCUCUCUAAGGAAUAAUGAGAAUAGAUCUUUCCUAUACUGUCUUGCUAUAGGAUUAGUUAGUUUGAUGACAACGUUCAAUGUCUUGGCUCUUUUAUUUUUCAUAUCCAUUAAAAUGAUGUUGGAUUAAGCUUUAGUUGAUUUUUAAGUGCAAAUUGUUGAGACCUUUCCGUAGAGAUUAGACUGACAAUGCUGCCACUAUUCCAAAUCAAUGUGGCAAUUUUGAAUUAAUUUUUAAUGUAUCAAAAUUCAGUAACAACUUCGUAAGCGAUCAUGGAAAGUCAUCAACAAUUGGUUCAACUAAAACCGAUACCAACUGAAAAAGAAAGGGGAAAAAGAUUUACUUGGCCUCCAUAAAUGUCAAAAAGAAUAAGCUAUUUUUAAUCUUUAUUUUAUUUUAGUAACUAUUACUUUCAUAAAUUUUUUGACUUGUUUUAAAGAAUCUAACUAUAGAAGUUGACAGGUCUAAGAAAGUGUGACAAGAUUGAAGUGGGAAGCCAAGCCUUGGUAGGUGUAACUCAGUUUACUCAGCCAAGGUUGUAAGACUAUUGUGCUCAGUUUUAGAAUUGACUACUGAGACACCCAUUUCCACAAUCAUUCAUUCCUAAUUUACUAUGGCUUACGCAUAAUUAGUUUAAAUUCUUAAGCAAAUAAAUAAUUUCAUAGUAUCUUUUCCCUUUCCCUGUGCAUGCUUAGUUGUAUAAUUUAUAUUACAUAUUGUUAAUAUUGACAAAAUGAAAAACUUAAGCAUCAAUUUGACAAAAUGACAGCACAAGAUAUAGUUAAACAGAUUGGUACCUCUGAAAAGUCUUUUUUCAUGAACUAAUUUAUAGGUUAAAUGACAGUAGAUCCGUUAAGUUGGUACCAAUAAUUUAUGGCAAUAAAAUUAUGCAAUCCUAAUCCUGACUGCAUUUUGAACUGUUUGAUUGAAUUUUCUACAUUUUUUUAUGGUAUAGGAUCUUGAAUCAUAGACUUUUUUGUACCUUUGCUAGUUCAAUUUCUAAUCAUAUUCUUUUGUGAUGUUGACAUAAUAGGCUAUUUAUUAUGGUCGUUCAUGGAUGUGUCCGAAUUAUUGAGUAGAGGUGAAAAUAUAUGAGUGGCUUUUGUGCUAGCUAUGAUUUAAGUUAUGACCUAGUUGAGGAAUUUGUUUUCUUUUCAUAUUUCUUAGUUAGGAAACUUAAUACCUAUAAGACUGAUAUAGAAACUAUUGUUUGACAUGAUGGAAAUAAGAUUGCAGGACGAAUAGAUAGACUGAGAAAAAAAUGCGAAAAAUUUUUGAAGCACUUGUCCCGGAAUCUGUAUACGCUACUAUAUUGCAGGCACUAAAGGUAUAUACUAUACCCGUGAACCAUAUUCCAAUGUUGAUGCUGUGCAUGUGACUCGUUUCAUAGGGCUUGCUUUUGUUGGAAAUAAAGAUAUGCAGUCUUUACCUCCAUCAAGAGGCGUCAUUUUGAGCAAGUACAAGUGGCUGUUCCGAUCAUUCUUAAUGUGUUGAAGGCUGUGGCUUUGGAUUCAGAUGACGCAGAUGAUGCAGAACUUGAGAGUGUAUUCCACAGAGCUGUUGGGAUUGCAAAUUGUAUAUCUGAAGUUUGCAAUAAGUUGGACGGUGUUUCAAAUGAGAAGCUCCGAGCUCUUCUUGGACUAUAUGUCCUCCAAUGCCUGGCACUUCUUUCGGCCAGCAUAAGCUAUAAAGAUUCCACCUGUCAUUUGAUGGUGUUGGAAUUGUCACAAAUAUCUUCAUAUUGUGGUUUAACAUAUAUGAGUUUUUUAACUGCUUUCGAUGUUGAGACUCUGGCUGGCUUUGUUUUUGGAGGUAGUAACUCUUGGGUUACCUUUUCUCAAUUCUAAAUUCAUUCAGUGGUAUGGGGGCUUGUCUCAGAGGAGGUUGCUCAUGCCACUAAAGAGCUAUUACGAGUACACACUUAAAAGUGGAGCAUUUAUUUAUACCAAAUUCAUUCUAUAGGUGAUAAGAGUUAGUGUUCUGAUGUGAAGUUAUCUAAGAGGUAGAGUGCUAUGUACAAGAUACAAAAGAAGUUGGUUGCUUGAUAAACAUUUCACGAUAAUAAAUAGUUAUGUU